rnacentral:rRNA from 1 species
UACGGAGGGUGCAAGCGUUGUCCGGAUUCAUUGGGUUUAAAGGGUGCGUAGGCGGCCCUGUAAGUCAGCGGUGAAAUACCCACGCUCAACGUGGGAACUGCCGUUGAUACUGCGGGGCUUGAGUUCGUGCGAGGUCGCUGGAAUGCGUGGUGUAGCGGUGAAAUGCAUAGAUAUCACGCAGAACACCGAUUGCGAAGGCAGCUCACUAAGUCAUAACUGACGCUGAUGCACGAAAGCGUGGGGAGCAAACAGG